rnacentral:lncRNA from 1 species
UGUGACUCAAGCUGUGGCUUCUAUGAUAACCUGUGCCCUACAGGUAGCCACCUAUGCAUGAGAGAUUAGUUAUCUAAAACAGCAGCAUCUCAAAGGAGUGAAGGUCAGUCCUCUUAGGCAGGGGCCCACUCAGAAGGAUGGUAGACUUUGGAUCUCCUAGUGGUCACACCUACCCAGAGAUAGGUACUCCAAGGCUGGCUACCUAGGUGAUCACAAAAAAAAGUACCUUAAGACAUGAGGGGACCCAAGUCAUCCAGAUCUCACCAACUUCCACUAGGGCUUGAAGGACAUCUGUCUCCUAUCGCAUCUCAGGAGGGGCAGCCUGGCAGUGGUGGCACUGACACACAAGCCCAUCAAAUAGUUAAGAGACUUUAUUCUAAUAGCUAUAAUUACAGUGCUUGUCGAAAUGAAAACUGAAAACAAGUAUACAAAACAGUUGAUUACUAAUUGUGUAUUGAAAGCAGUAAGAGGUUCCACGACACCAAAUAAACCAGUUCUGAGAUUUCCCCAAGAUAAAUUUAACAGCUCCAGCUUCUUCAGUGUUUAUCAAAAUACAAAAGAAAAAAGUAGAGGUCGUCUUUCGAUGGCAAAUCGGACCCUUGCAGGCUGAGGGAGGAAGCUACUUCACACAUGGAGAUGGGGGUGCUCCAGGAUGUGGGUCUGUAAUGGACCGACCCUCCCACCUUGCACGCACUCCUGCUGGUGAGACCCAGGCCUCCUGCCAGUGCGUCCAAGUGGGCCCAAGAGUAAGCUGGGUAUGUAGGCUGCCAUUGGGCCUGGCCACACACCAAGUACAAGCCAGGCCCUGCACCCCACAAUGGCUCCCAGCCUACCCCUAGGUGACCAUGUGAGCACAAGUACAAGCACAAUGCUAUGGAAUGCAGGUGACCCAAAGACAGGCGAGUCACGGGGGCUCUACUGUGACCAUGCAGCGGAUGGUGGUUUGUUCGUCACCUUCUCUCCUGUCCCCACAGGGAAACAGGUGAUCUGAUAACUAGCAUUCAGGCCAUUAACUGCAAAACCUACACUAGGCAUAGUCUCCGUUCUGUGUGUUCAAGUGUUCUUGUCCUGUGUUUUAAACUAUUUUUAAAAAAUGCACUGAGUUUGGGUUAAAAACCAACCACCAAAUGGAUACCGACACCAGUCUACAGCCCAAUGGCUCCCGGAGGCCAGGUGCCCCUACACCCAAAUCCCUUCUCAGUACUGACAGUGAGUUGAUUCUCUUUUUACAAUAA